AGAGAUUAUAAUAAUAGUAAUUUAGUUAGGAAUAAUAAUGAUGUUUAUAAUAGUAUGUCAGGCGGAGUAGGUUAUUUUCACCCAAACAUUUACAAUAGUUAUAACAAUAACAAUAUAAAUAAUAAUAAUUUGUAUAAUAAUUAUAUGUAUCAAGAUAAUAGUGGUACAAUUAUGAAUACAGUAAAUACUAUGCAAAUGAAUAGUAAUAAAAAAAAAAAUGACCGAUAUUAUAAUGAUGAUUUGAAAAGAUAUUAUGUUGAUAAUAAUUUGAAUGAUAAAAAUGUAUAUACAAAUACUAUAACAAAUGGUAGUGAUUUUAAGAGUGGUUAUGGGAUUGGAUUAAAUACAGGAUAUAAUAAUAGUAAUAUAAUUAAUACUAGUAUUGGGACAAAUAAUAGUAAUUAUCGUUAUCAUCACAACUAUCAUCAUUAUUCCCAUUAUCAUCACAAUAAUAAUAAUAAUAUGAACAAUAACAAUAAUAGUAGAAUGGGGAAACAUUAUAAAGACAUAGAUUAUAAAAUAGUUUCUAAUGGAAUGACUAGUGCUAAUAAUAAUUUAAAUAACACGAGUAGACAUACUGUUGUUAGUGAUGAAAAAAAUGAUGAAGUAGGUAGCAGUUUUAGUAGCACUAAUAGUACUAUUACUAGCAACAAUGAUAACAAUAGUAAUAAUAACAAUAAUAACAAUAAUAACAAUAGUAAUAAUAAUAGUGGAAACAAAAAUAGCAGGAGCCGAAGUAGCAGUAACUGUAAUACGAAACAAUACAACAGGAAUGAUGAUAAUGGAAAUAAUAAUGACACUAGUGGUAGUGGAAGUAAUGGCAAUAGUAAUAAUAAUAGUAGUAAUAAUAAUAGUAGUAACAGCAGUAACAACAGUAACAACAACAGUACCAACAACAGUACCAACAACAGUACCAACAGCAGUAAUGGUAACAGCAAAAACAGCAGUUUUGGUAGCUCAAAUAAUAACAAGGGAAAUAUAAAAACUAAUGAAUAUAACAAAAAUACCAAAUUAAUUAAUAAUAAACAUAACAAGAAAGAUUUAAGUGUUUAUAAGAAUGAUAAUAAUAACCACCCAAUGAAAAGCGAUUUAAAACCAUUUGAAAAAAGAAAUUCCAGGAUUUAUUUUAGUAAUAAAAAAAGUGUAUUAAAGAAUGUAGAAAAAAGAGUAGUAGGUAAUGACACAGUCAAUAAACUACAUGAAGGAGAAAACCAAAAAAUAAACACUUCUAUUAAUGGUUAUGUCAACAAUGUUAAUGAUAAUAAUGAUGUAAAAAAUGAAGAUAUACAUAAAGAUAAAGAAGUGGUUGUUAGUAUGAAUAAAAUGAAAAAAGAAGAAGUGCAGGGAGUAGGAGUUGUUGAAUCAGCAAAUACGGAAGUAAUAGCAGAAGUGUAUAAAGCUGAGAAAAAUGUUAAUAACAAUUUGGUACAUAAUAAUGAUAACAUUUCCCAUAGUGAUAACAUAGAAGAGAAGAAACAAGUAGGAACUGACACGUGUCAUUACAGUAAUGGUCAUAACAAUGGUCAUAAUAAUGAUUAUAACGCAACUGUAGAAAACCAUAAUAACUAUAACAUAGAAAAAAAAAAUAAAAGAGAUAAUUAUACAAAUAAAUAUGAUAACAUGUUGAAUAAUGAUAAUAGCUUAAGUAGUAGUAAGGAUUAUUAUAAAUUCCCUUUAUGGAAUAAUAAUACGAACAGAAAAAAUACUUAUAAUAGGUAUUAUAACAGUAAUAGUAAUGGUAAUAGUGGUAGUAAUAAUAAUACAGUCAACUAUGAUGAAAAAAAAAGUUU
ensembl:lncRNA